UACGAGGAGGACUACUUACUGUAGAUCC
rnacentral:sRNA from 1 species